rnacentral:rRNA from 1 species
GAUGAACGCUGGCGGCGUGCCUAAUACAUGCAAGUCGAGCGAACAGAUGAGAAGCUUGCUUCUCUGAUGUUAGCGGCGGACGGGUGAGUAACACGUGGGUAACCUACCUAUAAGACUGGGAUAACUCCGGGAAACCGGGGCUAAUACCGGAUAAUAUUUUGAACCGCAUGGUUCAAUAGUGAAAGACGGUUUCGGCUGUCACUUAUAGAUGGACCCGCGCCGUAUUAGCUAGUUGGUAAGGUAACGGCUUACCAAGGCGACGAUACGUAGCCGACCUGAGAGGGUGAUCGGCCACACUGGAACUGAGACACUGUCCAGAAUCCUACGGGAGGCAGAAGUAGGGAAUCUUCCGCAAUGCGCGAAAGCCUGACGGAGCAACGCCGCGUGAGUGAUGAAGGUCUUCGGAUCGUAAAACUCUGUUGUUAGGGAAGAACAAAUUUGUUAGUAACUGAACAAGUCUUGACGGUACCUAACCAGAAAGCCACGGCUAACUACGUGCCAGCAGCCGCCGUAA